rnacentral:rRNA from 1 species
GGGGGCCCGCAAGCGGUGGAGCAUGUGGUUCAAUUCGACGCAACGCGAAGAACCUUACCUGGGCUCGAAAUGUAGUGGAAUCGGGUGGAACCAUCCGCGUCUCGCAAGAGACUGCUAUAUAGGUGCUGCAUGGCUGUCGUCAGCUCGUGUCGUGAGAUGUUGGGUUAAGUCCCGCAACGAGCGCAACCCUUAUUGCCAGUUGCCACCGGGUUAUGCCGAGCACUCUGGCGAAACCGCACAGGAUAACUGUGAGGAAGGUGGGGAUGACGUCAAGUCCUCAUGGCCUUUAUGUCCAGGGCUACACACGUGCUACAAUGGUCGGUACAAACCGUCGCAAACCCGCGAGGGGGAGCUAAUCGGAAAAAGCCGGCCUCAGUUCGGAUUGGAGUCUGCAACCCGACUCCAUGAAGCUGGAAUCGCUAGUAAUCGCGGAUCAGAACGCCGCGGUAAAUACGUUCCCGGGCCUUGUACACACC